rnacentral:rRNA from 1 species
CGGCAACAGCUCAAAUUUGAAAUCUGGCCUCUUUGGGGUCCGAGUUGUAAUUUGUAGAGGAUGUUUCGGGUACCGCCUCGGUUUAAAUUUCUUGGAACAGAAUGUCAAAGAGGGUGAGAGCCCCGUACGGUUGGAUGCCUAGCCUCUGUGAAACUCCUUCGAC